GACGAACGCUGGCGGCGUGCUUAACACAUGCAAGUCGCACGGAGUGGCGAACGGGUGAGUAACACGUGGGUGACCUGCCCUGCACUUCUGGAUAAGCAUGGGAAACUGGGUGUAAUACCGGAUAGUGUGGGAUGGGCCCGCGGCCUAUCAGCUUGUUGGUGGGGUAAUGGCCGACGUAGGGGGUGACGGGUAGCCGGCCUGAGAGGGUGGACGGGCACAUUGGGACUGAGACAGGGCCCAGACUCCGACGGGAGGCAGCAGUGGGGAAUAUUGCACAAUGGGCGGAAGCCUGAUGCAGCGACGCCGCGUGGGGGAUGACGGCCUUCGUGUUGUAAACUCCUUUCUCCAUCUACGCGGUAGAUGGAGAAGAAGCACCGGCUAACUACGUGCCAGCAGCCGCGGUAAUAC
rnacentral:rRNA from 1 species